CAAUAUGGAAACUCACGGUCAUUUAUUGAUUUAUUUGAUUUCAGGAAAAAAUUUAUUUUUAUGAUCAUAGAUUUCAGGCUACAUCACGAAACAAAUUUAUUUUUUGGAUCGUCAACUCCAGGUUGCAUCACGGAUUUGAAGAUCCUUUUGUUUCCAUACAGUGGGAUCCAAUUUACAAAAUACAUAUUUAGGAUUUGAAGAUCCUUUUUAUUCCAUACAGUGAGGUCCAAUUUACAAAUACACAUUUAAAAUGAUCUAAAAAUAAGAUAAGAAUGUGGUGCAUAACAGUGGGUCGAGUUCCUUGGUGAUGGAUGGGGGCGCCAACAUUGAGAGUGGAUUGUGAAAGAGAAAAAAUAGAGAGUUUGAAGAAUUCGAUGAACAGAAAAUGCAAAAGUAUCAAGAGUACAACCUCCUAGAGUUUAGAGUACAACAGAAGUACGAGCUCAUAAGGUUUGAAGAAUAUCAGACGAUGGAAAAUAAAUGGAACGGUGUGACUUUCAAUGAGUUUAUGAAGCUUAAUUGAAUACCACACAAUUCAAAUACGUUGCAAUACUGACAUAUGAACUCUUUAUUAUUUUCUCCACCAGGAUUGGUUUAUUAUUAGGUAUGGAAGAAAAUCAGUAUUUGAGAAACAUUUUAAGUACUAUUAAUGGAGGAGCUCAAGCAGUGAUUACUUCUCGGACAAAGUCCUAUCUAUUUCUGUCCAAUGAGAAUGAGUUUCUCAAUGCAGUAAUCGCAACCUCAUUAGGAAUAAAUUUGUUUAUAUGAGAUUUUGAUUAAUAAUGAGGUUUCUUCUGGGUCCUACAACUCUUAUGCCUUUAAGUUUGUAAACUAGUCUUGUAAAGAAAAUCUAUAUACUCAGUCCAAUAAUGAGGUUUCUUCUGGGUCCUAGGAAUUGAUCCAAGGGGUUCCUUUUUUUC